rnacentral:rRNA from 1 species
AUACGAAAGGUGCAAGCGUUGUUCGGAUUUACUGGGCGUAAAGAGAGUGUAGGUGGUUUAUUAAGUCGGAUGUGAAAUCCCGGGGCUCAACCUCGGAACUGCAUUCGAUACUGAUAGGCUAGAGUUUGGGAGGGGUAAGCGGAAUUCCGUGUGUAGCAGUGAAAUGCGUAGAUAUACGGAGGAACACCUGAGGCGAAGGCGGCUUACUGGACCAAUACUGGCACUGAGACUCGAAAGCGUGGGUAGCAAACAGGAUUAGAAACCCUUGUAGUCC